AGGAGUCGCUACAGACCGGAUGCUGUUGCACAGCCUGUGACAGAGGAUGAGUUUGCUUUGGAAUCUGAGGUGUCGCUACCUACUGGAUAAUGUUGCACAGCCUGUGACAAAGGAUAAGUUUGCUUUGGAAUCUGAGAGCAUUUCAGAACCAUACUUUAAGAACAGAGGACUAUUUCUCAACAAUCUGCAGAAAAGUUAGAUGCUGCAUGUGGCAUUGAAAAAACAGAAAAUGAAACCUUGUUUGAAGACCAAAAU